AGUGAACGCUGGCGGUAGGCCUAACACAUGCAAGUCGAACGGCAGCACAGUAAUAGCUUGCUCUUACGGGUGGCGAGUGGCGGACGGGUGAGGAAUACAUCGGAAUCUACUUUUUCUUGGGGGAUAACGUAGGGAAACUUACGCUAAUACCGCAUACGACCUACGGGUGAAAGCAGGGGAUCUUCGGCCCUUGCGCGGUUGAAUGAGCCGAUGUCGGAUUAGCUAGUUGGCGGGGUAAAGGCCCACCAAGGCGACGAUCCGUAGCUGGUCUGAGAGGAUGAUCAGCCACACUGGAACUGAGACACGGUCCAGACUCCUACGGGAGGCAGCAGUGGGGAAUAUUGGACAAUGGGCGCAAGCCUGAUCCAGCCAUGCCGCGUGGGUGAAGAAGGCCUUCGGGUUGUAAAGCCCUUUUGUUGGGAAAGAAAAGCAGCAGGUUAAUACCCCGCUGUUCUGACGGUACCCAAAGAAUAAGCACCGGCUAACUUCGUG
rnacentral:rRNA from 1 species